rnacentral:rRNA from 1 species
AUUGAACGCUGGCGGCAGGCCUAACACAUGCAAGUCGGGCGAGUGGCGGACGGGUGCGUAAUGUAUGGGGAACUGCCUGAUGGAGGGGGAUAACUACUGGAAACGGUAGCUCAUACCGCAUACCAUCAGAUGAACCCAUAUGGGAUUAGCUUGUAGGUGGGGUAACGGCUCACCAAGGCGACGCUCCCUAGCUGGUCUGAGAGGAUGACCAGCCAAACUGGGACGGAGACACGGUCCAGACUCCUACGGGAGGCAGCAGUGGGGAAUAUUGCACAAUGGGCGCAAGCCUGAUGCAGCCAUGCCGCGUGUAUGAAGAAGGCCUUCGGGUUGUAAAGUACUUUCAGUCGGGAGGCGUUACCAACAGAAGAAGCACCGGCUAACUCCGUGCCAGCAGCCGCGGUAAUAC